rnacentral:tRNA from 13 species
AGACCCAUGGGGGGAUCGAACCCACGACCUUCGCGAUAUUAGCACGACGCUCUAACCAACUGAGCUAAUGGGCC